rnacentral:misc_RNA from 1 species
CUUAAAUGCUCAGAAGAACGCAAUUGCCCAAACGAACAUGGCUCUCUCCUUAACCCUCCGAUCUUAACGGUCACUUCUCCACAAAAAUACCACGAUCAUCCAAAAAUGACGGAGUCACCCUCCCAAGACGCCAACGAUGUUGCUACUACUAAUCCUAGCGUUCCCGAGAUCCCAAUUGAGAUCGUCUCUGAAGAAGAGAUGGCUCUUAUUGAAGCAGCGCUGGCAGCAACUCGCUCCUGUCUCUCCUCCUCUGUUUUCCCUGCAAUUUGUUCGCCUUCUAGCUCCUCUCUGUUUCUAAAUAAUGCUAGGUCAAUCCGCUCAAUCACUUCCCUGUCCAAGAGGAGAGUUCCAGGGGGUUGCAGUGAAUCUGAUAUUGAGGAUUUGGGGAGUACUCAGAAGAAGAAUCCAGUGGCUGAGUCAUUAUUUCAUAGGUUUAGAAAGAGGAGGGGUUUGUCUGUCACCGACAUCACUUCCGCGGUAAUGGAUGGUUCUGGGUUUGUUUUGGACUUUCUUGAAAUGGGGUUGGUUUACUUUUGUUGGAUUUUGAAGUUCAUGGGUUGUUUGAAUUGAAUUUGUUGUGGAUAAUGCAUAGGUUAUUUCCUUUUUAGGUGUCUUGAAUUUUGUAUUUUUAUUGAAUUUAGAUAUCUUGGAUGUUGAUGAUGAGUCUUAAUUGUUUGAUCAAGCUAAUAAGUUGUCUUUUUCAUCUCAUUAGGAUUAAUUUAAAUGGUCCUCUUGUUUUCUUUAUGAUUUUAACUAUAGGAAUGGUGUGAAAAACAAACGGAAUUUGGUCUUCUAUUUGGCAAAAUAAAAAUCACUAAAGCUAUGAAAGCAGGCCAUGAUCGCCACGUAAAACUGGAAGAAGAGGUACAGUUUUAAACUUUUGUUUCACUAAUUCUUUUUAUAUGCGUAAUCUCCCGCUGCCAUGAAUUUCGUAUUCCAAGCUUAUAUGAUAGUUCAUUUGGCUAUUUCAAAGUCAAUUACGCUUCCACUGUCUUACCAAUCAAGAACAAGCUUUUCCUUUUAUUCUAUUGCAUACUCUAAUUACUUCUCAUCUUUGGGACUACUAGCCAAGGAAUUGACCACCUUGCUUUUAGCUGAUUACCUUCCAUGUCCUUCUUUGUGCACUGCAUAUAUUUAUCUGAUCCUGUUUAUAUUUGUGGGCAGGUUGUUAAAAGAGUUAAAGUUAGUGUUGAAUCAGCUGAAGAUGCAUGGGCUCUGAAGUUCAUAAAUUUCAUAACUUGCGCAAAUCAAUUAUUGUUUGAAGGACUAACACGUGAGCUUCCACUGUAAGUUUUUUAUUUUUUGGUCUGUGACCAUGGUUAUGUUAAAUACAUAACUUUGUAAGCAAAGGAUUUGGGUUGUGUUUUAUUUUUAUAUUAUCGUAGUUUUGUCAUCAGGAUUUGGUCUGCUAAAGUUGGUUUCUGUCGGCAAGUCAUUUCUGAUUCUUCAGAAUUCAGAUUGUGUUAUUCUUCACACAUGGGAUUUGGUUAUUUUUGAUAGGGUAAUUUUCUUUAAAAGUGGGUGUUAAGCAGAUGGGCAUCUUGAUAAAAUUGUAUAUGCUAAUUGGAGGUUGAAGAUAAGUUUCAGUGUGGUCCUGGAUUUAAAACUUCAAUGUGUAAAUUAGCUAAAAGGAUAUGAAAUAUACCCUCUGUGGCUUGGCAUCAUUUACUUGCUCUUUCAUCCAUUACUGUAACUCAGAGGAGUUGCUUAUUUUUUUUAUUUCCCUGUUAAUGAAUUACUGUUGCUUGUAACAUCAGGAUAGGAUUUUCAGGUGGUGUAUGGAUGGUGGGAAUAGUUGAUGAGAUUCGAAUGCCUGAGGGAGAAAAUAGAAACCCAAUACUAGUGGACACAAAAACUCGUGUUCGUGAGACCCUUCCUGCUGAACCACAAAGGAGAAAUGGAAGGCUACAAUUGAUGUGCUAUAAACAUUUGUGGGACAAUUUGGUUGCUGAUAAAUUCUCCUUCAAAGAGUUUUAUGAUUUCUUUUCCUUGAAUCCAUUCUACAUCUUGUCUGAAGAAAUCAGGGAGAACACUGCCAAAGCAGGUAUCCCUGCAAAGGUAAAAAUGUUCUUUCUCAUUAAACUGUCAGGUACAUUCAACCUGCAAAGUUAGGAAUGAAAGACAUGAAGCCAUUUUUUUGUUACAUAGACAUUUUAUAUUGAAAACCAAAGCAAUUAUUUAUUACGCUUAAUUCUACCAACAUGACAGGAGUCUUUGAACUCUCUGGUUUAGUUAACUGAUGAUGACUCAUUUGAAGAGUUCUGUCUAUGAACUAAAUGGCAUAAAGUGGUGGACAUUAUUAAGCUGUUAACGAUUUAAGUGGUGAAGUUUUUUCACAUAGUUGUUAAUUCGUAAACCUUGCUGUAGUAGUAGUUUCAUAUUUCAUGUUUGUGCAGACCCUUGAAGACAUAGUGAGAUACUUCAGAAAUAUGUGUAGUAUGCUCCUCCCUGCCGACAACCAGAUGCUAUUGAGAUAUGAAUUGCAAAAAGACAACUCUGUGAUCGGUGAAGAUCAAUUUGCAUAUGAUCCUGAUUGGCUCAAUGGUCAAAUUCAGGGUUCUCUCAAAUUCUGGCUGGGUGAAAGAGAAGCCAGUUUCACUCCUGAGGAAGAGCGGUGGAAAUGCCGGUUUUGUCAAUUUGCUUCAGUAUGCCCUGUAAACACCACUCCUGGUACAUCAAGCCCUUAAAGAGCAACAGCCCUAAUAGUAGUCCAAGCUAGGUGACGAUGUCAUCUUUCAUUCUUUGAGGUUGUUUGAAUCAGCAGUCUCGUCAAUAAUUGUUUGCAUCUUGACAUGGAAGUUCCUGCAAAGAUGCUUCAUAAUUUAAAGCCUCGUUGAAGCAUGUUAAGCGGUUAGACCAUACCUCU